UACAGUAGUUGCAACAAGUUGAAGCGUCUGCCCUCUGUAGAUGCAUUGAACCUUUUAGAAAUUAGAGAUUGCCCGAAACUACGUAUUGAUUCAGAAUGGCUCAGCCAGCAUCCCCAUCUGGCAAUCAAGAUCGAUGACCAACCCGUUUGAAUGUUGUUGCAAUUCCAGCCGACGAGCUUAAAAAGUCACGGCCUCGGAAUAACUUGGUAUUCACGCAGGACUUGUGAAACAGGCUAAGGAGUCGAACAUAGGAUUCCGUUGGAGGUUGAGAUUGAAGCUAAGAACAGAGUUGGACAGAGUCAGAAAAGUAGAUCGAAGUUCGUAGGAUUUCUCCAUAGACUACUUUUACGUAGUACCAACUCCAGAACGUGCCAUGAUCGUCUUCACAUCAAGCACUCCAUGAUCUCAAUGGUUUUGAUUGUUUGUAGUGUUUUCCAUGCUUUGGAUUAUUGGUUGGUUUUAUGUUGUUCCAAUCCCACAUGAAUUUAUGGACAGACACUAAUGUAGUAUCUUUGUUAUUCAUUAGCUAUAUAGUCCUUAUCUACAAGUUUUCCUGUUGAA